UACGUAGGGUGCGGGCGUAAUCGGAAUUACUGGGCGUAAAGCGUGCGCAGGCGGUUUUGUAAGCCAGAUGUGAAAGCCCCGGGCUUAACCUGGGAAUGGCAUUUGGGACUGCAAGGCUGGAGUUUGGCAGAGGAGACUGGAAUUCCUGGUGUAGCAGUGAAAUGCGUAGAUAUCAGGAGGAAUACCGAUGGCGAAGGCAGGUCUCUGGGCUAUAACUGACGCUCAUGACACGAAAGCGUGGGGGAGCAAACAGGAUUACGAA
rnacentral:rRNA from 1 species